rnacentral:rRNA from 1 species
GACGAACGCUGGCGGCGUGGAUUAGGCAUGCAAGUCGAACGGUAUCAUCCUUUCGGGGGUGAGAGAGUGGCGAAUUGGUGAGUAACACGUAGGUUAUCUACCCUCAAGACGGGGACAACCCAGGGAAACUUGGGCUAAUACCGGAUGUGAGCAACUUUUAGUUGUUUGAAAGGUGGCGUAAGCUGUCGCUUGGGGAUGAGCCUGCGUCCCUAUUAGUUAGUUGGUGAGGUAACGGCUCACCUAGGCAAUGAUAGGUAGGCGGCCUUAACGGGUGGUCGCCCACACUGGGAUUGAGAUACGGCCCAGACUCCUACGGGAGGCAGCAGUCGAGAAUAGUCUACAAUGGUCGGAAGACUGAUAGUGCGACGCCGCGUGAACGAUGAAUCCCUUCGGGGUGUAAAGUUCUUUUAUAUGUGAGCAGUGCUUCUUAUAUUAACAGUAUGGGGAGAGAGAUAUUAGCAUAUGAAUAAGCAACGGCUAACUCCGUGCCAGCAGCCGCGGU